GCGUACCAUACGUAGGGCAAGACUGGAAGGCCGCUGGGAAAAUACCAGCAUCCCGAACGCAAAAAACGGACAGCGGGUCCACGUGCUAGGGAUUCGACCGCAUCCAAUGCAGACAGAAAGCCCGGAACUGGCAACCAGGACCAGAGACUUGGAGGCUGGAAGUCAAUAACCAAAGUGCCAGCACAGACCAAGCUGGGAGGACUCCAUUCUGGAUUGCGGAUGGCCACCUUCUUGCCAGGAGUCAAAAGUGAGCAGCAGUGCCCACCUCUUGGUCAUGCAGGGUGAAGGACUGAACCAGGGCUUGUGUUUGCCAGCAGCUUGCGGCACCGGGAAUGAUGGACAGCCACGUGGUCUCUGGCUGGCAGCGUGGAUGAGACACCGAUGUGGAUUCAGAGGCACCAAGGACUACGAACAUCAACAUGGCCUCCACAGCAGCACUGAUCAUGGAAGUCUUUCAAGGGGACAACUCAGAAAAUGAAUCGUUCUUCAUCUCGGAUAUCUUGUUGCUCAGAGUCAGGGUGAUCGUGGGAUCGGGCAGCGUGUGUGUGGAACAGAAGUGGGCGUGGGGGGGGCACCUAGAAGAGCUGCGGCUCCAUUCUGCGGGCUGAGCGGCAGCAGUACUUGUCCUAGCAGGCGGGAACCGGGUGAGGUGGAUCCUAUAGUUGCUUGAGCCUCCAGGGUCCGAGGAGAACCUUCUCUACUGGGCAAUGACAUGCUCCUUUGUGCCCUCCCCCUGCCGCAGCCCUGCUCCAUACCCAUCGCUGCCCAGUCUCGCUUCCCUCUGUUGCGCUGCUCUGUUCUGCAGUAUGGAAAAAAAAUAUACUUUAGGGGUGGGGCACGCCAUUGAACUUUUCAUAAUUUCCAUCUCUUUGCUGAAAUUCCCUCUGACUACACCCAUUGUCAGCUUUCCCCACCAGAUCCUUUAAUGUAUUGUUACACUUUUUAAAAUUCUUCUCUGCUAAUUUGAAUACUCAGAUCAUAUGCAAAUCCGCUUC
rnacentral:lncRNA from 1 species